AAGACUAUAGACCUGCGGAGUACCUGCGGAGGGAUCAUUACAGGACUCGCAAGACUCCUACAACCCUGUGAACCUACUAUACGAACGUUGCUUCGGCGGGUGCGCCCCGGGGAUUCGUUCCCGCGGCGCGUCAGCCCGCCGGCAGCCUACAAAUUCUGUUUCUUUGCGUUGGCAUCUCGAGAAAAACAAAUAAGUUAAAACUUUUAACAACGGAUCUCU
rnacentral:misc_RNA from 1 species